GAUGAACGCUGGCGGCGUGCUUAACACAUGCAAGUCGAACGGAAACAGCCAGCUUUUGUGGUGUGGUCGAGUGGCGAACGGGUGGGUAACACAUGAGUGAGAUACCCUUUGAUUUGGGGUAAUUUCAGGUAAAUAGGGCUAAUAAGGGAUAGGAGCUCCUGAUGCCUGGUGGGGGUUGGAUAGUUUCGGCGGGUGGGGAUGGACUCGCGGCUUAUCAUCUUGUUGGUGGGGUAGGGGCUUACCAAGGUUUUGACGGGUCGCCGGCCUGAGAGGGUGACCAGCCACAAUGGUACUGAGAUACGGCCCAGACUCCUACGGUACACAGUAGGGGGGAAUAUUGCACAAUGAGCGGAAGCCUGAUGCAACAACGCCGCGUUCGUAAUGACGGCCUACGGGUGGUAAACCGAUUUCGCCUAUUACCAAGCGUGAUUGACGUUAAUGGGUAAAGAAGCACCGGCUAACUACGUG
rnacentral:rRNA from 1 species